GCCUGGCUGGCUCCGUUGGUGGAGCAUGAGACUCUUGAUUUCGGGGUUGUGAGUUCAAGCCCCACGCUGGGUG
rnacentral:tRNA from 1 species